UAGGGAAUCUUCGGCAAUGGACGAAAGUCUGACCGAGCAACGCCGCGUGAGUGAAGAAGGUUUUCGGAUCGUAAAACUCUGUUGUUAGAGAAGAACAAGGACGUUAGUAACUGAACGUCCCCUGACGGUAUCUAACCAGAAAGCCACGGCUAACUACGUGCCAGCAGCCGCGGUAAUACGUAGGUGGCAAGCGUUGUCCGGAUUUAUUGGGCGUAAAGCGAGCGCAGGCGGUUUCUUAAGUCUGAUGUGAAAGCCCCCGGCUCAACCGGGGAGGGUCAUUGGAAAAUGGGAGACUUGAGUGCAGAAGAGGAGGGUGGAAUUCCAGGUGUAGCGGUGAAAUGCGUAGAUAUAUGGAGAAACACCAGUGGCGAAGGCGGCUCUCUAGUCUGUAACUGACGCUGAGGCUCGAAAGCGUGGGGAGCAAACAGG
rnacentral:rRNA from 1 species